CCACGCCCUCCGUCACAUCCCACCUCCCCGCCCAGGAGCUUCCGCGAGGCUCGCCCGGCAGCUCCUGCUCCACAGCAGGCUUCCUACUUUGACGCCUCACGCGCUCUUCAGCUCUCUUUUUCUGUGGGUCUCGCGGCUCUCCCCCUCUACAAUUACGAGUAGUGCCUUGAGCCGGGCGUUCGGAGACCCACACAGGAGGGACAGGAUGGGGAGAGCGGCAUUAAAGGGUGGUGACUCAGGAGUUCAAGACCAGCCUGGCCAACAUGACGAAACCCCGUCUCUACCAAAAAUACAAAAAUUAGCCAGGCAUGAUGGCGGACGCCUGUAAUCCCACCUACUCGGGCGGCUGAGGCAGGAGAAUCGCUUGAACCCGGGAGGCGGAGGUUGCAGUGAGGCGAGAUAGCGCCACUACACUCCAGCCUGGGCGACAGAGCGAGACUCCGUCUCAAAAUAAAAAUAAAAAAAAAAUAAAGGCGGGGUGGUGGUGGUGACAAGCCCCUAUUACGGCCUUAGUGCGGGAUUCCCCUUGGGGCGGGAGACGUCGUCCUUCCGGGUGCGGGUGCGGACUGCAAGUCCUAUCGGGGACCGCGACACCGGACUGCAUCCGCCAGCGUCCAGGGCGUAGCGCCCCCCAGGCGCUGCCUUCGUCCAUCUCUACGGGGAGUGGCGGCCAGAAGACUGGGUUUUCCCCGUGCAGCUGUGCCCCACGUUGGGGAAACUGACUUUUCAGACAAACAGAGGCCAAAAGGAG
rnacentral:lncRNA from 10 species